AAUGAACGUUGGCGGCGUGGAUUAGGCAUGCAAGUCGGUCGCUCCGCAAGGGGCGAGGCGCAAGGGUGAGUAAUGCGACGGCAACCAACCCCAGGGAUGAGCAUAGCCCGCCGAAAGGCGGGGUAAUUCCCAGCGAAGUCGCGGCGGGGACAUCCCCGCUCGAUCAAAGGGUGUGAUUCCGCCCUGGGACGGGCCGUCGUGGCAUCAGGUAGUUGGUGGGGUAAUGGCCCACCAAGCCGAAGACGCCUACCGGGCGUGCGAGCGUGGCCCGGCACACUGGGACUGAGACACUGCCCAGACGCCUACGGGUGGCUGCAGUCGAGAAUCUUCGGCAAUGGGCGCAAGCCUGACCGAGCGACGCCGCGUGGAGGACGAAGGCCUUCGGGUUGUAAACUCCUGUCGAGGUGAAGCAACGGCCCGUGAAGAGCGGGACUUGAGCGACGCCUGGAGGAAGCACGGGCUAAGUUCGUGCCAGCAGCCGCGGUAAGACGAACCGUGCGAACGUUAUUCGGAUUCACUGGGCUUAAAGCGCGUGUAGGCGGGCCGAUACGUCCGUGGCUGAAAGCCCCCGGCUCAACCGGGGAAGUGGCCCAGAUACGGUUGGCCUGGAGGGGCAUAGGGGGAGCUGGAACUUCCGGUGGAGCGGUGAGAUGCGUUGAGAUCGGAAGGAACGCCCGUGGCGAAAGCGAGCUCCUGGAUGCCUUCUGACGCUGAGACGCGAAAGCCAGGGGAGCGAACGGGAUUAGAUACCCCGGUAGUCCUGGCCGUAAACGAUGAGCACUGGGUAGGAGGCUCGCCGAUGGGCGUCCUGCCGCAGCGAAAGCGUGAAGUGCUCCGCCUGGGGAGUAUGGCCGCAAGGCUGAAACUCAAAGGAAUUGACGGGGGCUCACACAAGCGGUGGAGCAUGUGGCUUAAUUCGAGGCUACGCGAAGAACCUUAUCCCAGGCUUGACAUGCGCGGAUUAGCCGGCGGAAACGUCGG
rnacentral:rRNA from 1 species